UACAGAGACUGCAAGCGUUAUUCGGAUUCACUGGGCGUAAAGGGUGCGCAGGCGGCCAAGUGUGUUAGGCGUGAAAGCCCGAGGCUUAACCUCGGAGUUGCACCUAAAACUACAUGGCUAGAGUACUGGAGAGGGUAACGGAAUUCACGGUGUAGCAGUGAAAUGCGCAGAUAUCGGGAAGAACACCCGUGGCGAAGGCGGCUCUCUGGGACGGUACUGACGCUGAGACGCGAAAGCGUGGGGAGCGAACAGG
rnacentral:rRNA from 1 species